rnacentral:rRNA from 1 species
GUCCACGCCUUAAACGAUGGAUACUAAGUGUCGGCGGGUUACCGCCGGUGCCGCAGCUAACGCAGUAAGUAUCCCGCCUGGGAAGUACGGCCGCAAGGUUGAAACUCAAAGGAAUUGACGGGGGCCCGCACAAGCGGUGGAGCAUGUGGUUCAAUUCGACGCAACGCGAAGAACCUUACCCAGGCUGGACAUGCAGGUAGUAGAAGGGUGAAAGCCCAACGAGGUAGCAAUACCAUCCUGCUCAGGUGCUGCAUGGCUGUCGU